CCUACGGGUGGCAGCAGUGAGGAAUAUUGGUCAAUGGACGCAAGUCUGAACCAGCCAAGCCGCGUGCAGGAAGACGGCCCUAUGAGUUGUAAACUGCUUUUGUACGAGGGUAAACUACGAUACGUGUAUCUCUCUGCAAGUACCGUACGAAUAAGGAUCGGCUAACUCCGUGCCAGCAGCCGCGGUAAUACGGAGGAUUCAAGCGUUAUCCGGAUUUAUUGGGUUUAAAGGGUGCGUAGGCGGGCGGUUAAGUUAGAGGUGAAAUCCCGAGGCUCAACUUCGGAAUUGCCUCUGAUACUGGUCGGCUAGAGUGAAGUGGCGGUAGGCGGAAUGUAUGGUGUAGCGGUGAAAUGCUUAGAGAUCACACAGAACACCGAUUGCGAAGGCAGCUUACCAGGCUACAACUGACGUUGAGGCACGAAAGUGUGGGGAGCAAACAGGAUUAGAUACCCGGGUAGUC
rnacentral:rRNA from 1 species